UCUUGAAGCUUGGUUGGUAGAGUAUCAGACUUUUAAUCUGAGGGUCCAGGAUUCAAGCUCCUGUUCAAGCA
rnacentral:tRNA from 1 species